GGGGGGGGGGGAGCCCAUGGUCACUCACAGCCCACUCAGAGCCCGUGCCCACUCAUAGCCCAGGGUCACUCACAGCCCACUCACAGCCCAUGCCCACUCAUAGCCCAGGGUCACUCACAGCCACUCACAGCCCAUGCCCACUCAUAGCCUAGGGUCACUCACAGCCACACACAGCCCAUGUCCACUCAGAGCCCAUGGUCACUCACAGCCCACUCACAGCCCAUGCCCACUCAUAGCCCACGGUCACUCACAGCCCACUCACAGCCCAUGUCCACUCAGAGCCCAUGGUCACUCACAGCCCACUCACAGCCCAUGCCCACUCAUAGCCCACGGUCACUCACAGCCCACUCACAGCCCAUGUCCACUCAGAGCCCAUGGUCACUCACAGCCCACUCACAGCCCAUGCCCACUCAUAGCCCACGGUCACUCACAGCCCACUCACAGCCCAUGUCCACUCAGAGCCCAUGGUCACUCACAGCCCACUCACAGCCCAUGCCCACUCAUAGCCCACGGUCACUCACAGCCCACUCACAGCCCAUGCCCACUCAUAGCCCAGGGUCACUCACAGCCCACUCACAGCCCAUGCCCACUCAUAGCCCAGGGUCACUCACAGCCCACUCACAGCCCAUGCCCACUCAUAGCCCAGGGUCACUCACAGCCCACUCACAGCCCAUGCCCACUCAUAGCCCAGGGUCACUCACAGCCCACUCACAGCCCAUGCCCACUCAUAGCCCAGGGUCACUCACAGCCCACUCACAGCCCAUGCCCACUCAUAGCCCAGGGUCACUCACAGCCCACUCACAGCCCAUGCCCACUCAUAGCCCAGGGUCACUCACAGCCCACUCACAGCCCAUGCCCACUCAUAGCCCAGGGUCACUCACAGCCCACUCACAGCCCAUGCCCACUCAUAGCCCAGGGUCACUCACAGCCCACUCACAGCCCAUGGUCACUCACAGCCCAUGGUCACUCACAGCCCAGGGUCACUCACAGCCCACUCACAGCCCAUGUCCACUCGUAGCCCAUGGUCACUCAUAGCCACACACAGCCUGGAAACACAGCACAAAUCUACCCAACAAAAUUUACCUGACCCUUUAAAGCUCACCAAAACAUGACAGAAGGUCCUCUUGAUAGUCUGUAUCAUAUAUAUGUUCUGAGACUGUGCUGCCCAUAUGUUCAAUAUUGGACCCACACACAGCCUGGUCCCACUCGUGACCAGACCCACUCAUGGCCCUGCCCCACUCACAUCCUGGUCACGCUCGCAGCCUGAACCCACCCACAGUCCAAACCCACUCACAGCCCAUGCCCGCCCAUGCCCACUCACAACCACAUCCCACUGAAAACCCAGAUCCCUCCAAACCCGGACCCGCUCCCAUCCCGGUCCCUCUCACAGCCCAUGCACCAUUCCCCUGGGGAGAUCCUGCCAGUGUUGCUGUGCCUGGGGUGUCUGACAGUGUGGCAGUGCUGCGCCAGGUUGUGGUGACACACCUCGGGGCAACCCGCCUGCCCCCUACUUUCCCCUGCCCCCUUUUCCCCACCAUGGUUGGUGUCCUGAUCCAGGGGAGAGCAUUCCUACUGGAGAUCAACGCUGGAUAAUGGAUAAUGACAGCCAGCUUAGGCACACAGUGCACUCACUCAUGAAAACAUCUCUGCUCCAGCCAUGUGGGGCUCUGCUACACGGGGGGAGCCACUGGAAGUCAUAAGACAUCCCACUUUCCUAAAAAAUCUAUGGAUAAAGUGACAUUGAGAGGGGGCUACAGCACUGGGAGACAUGGAAGGGUUUAAUGGAUCCUGCUUUCCUAAGGAGCCUCUGGAUAAAGCAGUGCUGAGAGGAUGCUGUGGCACUGGGAGAAAGGAAAAGGAUUUAAUAAACAGUCACUCCAAUGGAAGCACUUUAUCCUGGUUGGAGAGAGCCAGGCAGUGCUGAUGCACAGAUGAACACUGUCCUUCAUGUGCCACAUGUCCCUGGCCCUUCCCAAAGCCACUGUCCUCACACAGGUGCUUUGGGAUGUGUGGGGAUGAUCUGGGAGGACUCAGCCAUGCUGUGCCCUGUGGUUUCCUUCUGAAACCUCACAGGAGCUCUGGGUGGCACUGGGAUGUGCUGGUGUCCUCAGGCAAUGCUGUGGCUGGCCAGAGCCCACGGCCACAGUCUCACCCAUGUGGGUGGGGACAAACUGGUUUGGGAAUGCUGGUGGUGGUGAGCAGCACCCUUUUGGGGCAACAUCUCCUUCAUAUUGUGGGUUUAGCCCUGCUCUGCAAAUAACAGAGAAUGGCAUCGCCUGGAUUUGUGUAGCACAAAAUCCUCCUUUGUUUACAGCUUCCGAGAGCAGCAGAAAUCCGAAAUCCCCCCUCUGACAAAGAGAACCAGAAACACGCCGGCAUCCUCUCCAUUUCCUACAGAAAUCAGACGCUGGCUCCUCGCUCGCACCCCCGGCCUCACACCCCGCAGCGCACGUGGCUCUGCAGUGAGAACAGCCUUUGUGCCCAGCCUUUGUUUACUGCCCCGGCCAUCCCGAGGAGAGAUCCCACAGACAAGGGCAGUUUAUUCCUCUCCCCUGAUAAAGGCUCAUUCAUCCUCCCAGGGGGCUCGCCGUCAUCUCUGGAGAGCUCCGCAGUGGGACUCUGGGUUGUUUUUGCUCUGGCGCCAGUUUUGGGAGAGAGUUUGAGUAAAAAGGUGCAGAAUGCAAGAGAUUAUGAAAGGAGUUUUGUUCUCAAAUUAUUUUUUUCUGUUAUUGCUGCCAUUUCUUACCAAUAACCCAGAGGUACCUGUGGGUCAGCACCCAAGCCAAGCAUGCUCAGAUCUUUGAAUGAAUGAGAGCAGACUCCCUGCUCAUUCCCUUUUGAGUGAUCCUACUGCAUUUGGGCUGGAUAUAUGCAUCCCCUAACUUGGAAGAUAAAUAAUAAUAUCCCUUGGGUACGACUCCUGAGUUCUCAUGGACAAUAUUGAACACAAGCCCAGACCUGAAGAAGUACUUUUGCACCUGGAAGUUCCCCUGAUUUCUCCAAAUAUAUCAACAGUCCUAACAAAAACUGUUGCCUCUCCAUACAAACCUUUGCACUUAUCUAGUAUUUUCCAUAAACCUGGCACAUUCUCAGCCAGCUCAGCUCUGCCGAUUUACAGUGACCCUGUUUUUGCCCCAAAACGAGCAAAUACUGAUUUAUUUCUGUCAGAGCACCAGAGCCAUAAAUACAUUUCCCAACGCAGAUGAUUUCCUUCCCCAUCACAGGUCAGAACAGGAUAUUCAUGAUGCUGUAAAUUCUUCAGAGUAGCAAUCUGGCUGUAAUAUUUGUCUGCAGUGAAUCCAGCCCCCUUUUUGAGCUCUAAGGCAUAAAUCAGCAUCCCUCACAACACCUAAUUCUUCUGUUGCACAGCCUGGGCAGCAGUGGAGUGAGGGUUUGGGGGUGAAUGGACCAAGUUAGAAGGUUCUGGUGGGCAGCAUGGGCAGCUGGAAGUGUUACCUGGCUGGACAUCAUUAAAUCCCCCUUUCCCACAUCUGGUGCCUGCAGACACCCCUCAGUGAGAGGCUGGGACAGCUGCUGUGUUGGGAAAUCAAAAUGACCCAAAGGAUGUGGGUCUGUUCUGCAGAUGUCCCAGAAAAACCUAAUAACCUCGAUUCUGCCUGCGGGAUUAAAAAUACUUCUCUGCAUUCAAAUGUGCCACUUUGUUAAUUCCUGUGGCCUGGAAGAAGAGCCUUUCUCUUUGCAUUUUCUUGCCUUGUCUGCUACGUCUUGUCAAUGCCUUGUGACACCGUGAGGGAAGGCAGGAAAUUCUCUGUGACUUGGAGGUUUGCUUGGGUGAGCUGAAAAUGGAUCCAGAAAUCCUCACCCCUCGCUUCCUGCAGGAGAGCAGCUGUCAUGUGCCCCUACCCCGUGCCUUUUCCCUCCAUGUCUGCUUGCUUGGAGCCAGAGAUGCCCAGGGGAUGCCCAGCAUGGGAGAUGCAGGUGUCCCAGCCUGUCCCCACAGCAGGAAUUGUCACCACAGGUACACCAGCACACUUGGCACACCUCACACCCACAGUGACCACUGUUUGGUGUUUUCAGCUGGUGGGUGGCAAAGCUGUGAAGACCAGGGGACACAGGGUGGCGUUUCCCAGGGCUGGUGGGUGGGCCUGAAUGGGUCCCAUCCCUGGGAUGCAGCCCCAGGGCUCCCUGGCUGGGUGCUCACCCCAAGUCCCACUGCCCAGGCAGCUGCUGCUUGGACUGCCAUAAGGAAGGGGUGCCUGCCCAGGGGAGAACUUCUGUGACUCUUGCAGUUAUGUUGGUGGAAAAACAAGCUGAAGAAACCUCUGGCUUCAGUGUCCCCUUCCCUGAGGUUGCAGGACAGUGGUGCCCUCAUGUCCUCCCUGCUUGACCCUUUUCUGGGCCAGACUGCCUGUUCCCACCACCCCAGGGCUGGGGUGGCACCGUGGCCCAUUUCCCACCAUGCUGCCCUGAGCCUGGCUGUGUGACACAGCGAGGGACACGUCCCAGG
rnacentral:lncRNA from 1 species